rnacentral:tRNA from 1 species
GGAGAGGUGCCUGAGCCCGGUUUAAAGGGUCCGAUUCGAAAUCGGAUGUUCGCCCAUAAAGCGAACCCAGGGUUCGAAUCCCUGCUUCUCCGCCA